rnacentral:rRNA from 1 species
AUACGGAGGGUGCAAGCGUUAAUCGGAAUUACUGGGCGUAAAGGGUUCGUAGGCGGCUAUUUAAGUCAGAUGUGAAAGCCCCGGGCUCAACCUGGGAAUUGCAUCUGAUACUGGGUAACUAGAGUUUAAGAGAGGAGUGUGGAAUUUCCGGUGUAGCGGUGAAAUGCAUAGAGAUCGGAAGGAACAUCAGUGGCGAAGGCGGCACUCUGGCUUAAAACUGACGCUGAGGAACGAAAGCGUGGGUAGCAAACAGGAUUAGAAACCCCUGUAGUCC